GACGAACGCUGGCGGCGUGCCUAAUACAUGCAAGUAGAACGCUGAAGAGAGGAGCUUGCUCUUCUUGGAUGAGUUGCGAACGGGUGAGUAACGCGUAGGUAACCUGCCUUGUAGCGGGGGAUAACUAUUGGAAACGAUAGCUAAUACCGCAUAACAAUGGAUGACACAUGUCAUUUAUUUGAAAGGGGCAAUUGCUCCACUACAAGAUGGACCUGCGUUGUAUUAGCUAGUAGGUGAGGUAAUGGCUCACCUAGGCGACGAUACAUAGCCGACCUGAGAGGGUGAUCGGCCACGCUGGGACUGCGACACUGCCCAGACUCCUACGGGAGGCAGCAGUAGGGAAUCUUCGGCAAUGGGGGCAACCCUGACCGAGCAACGCCGCGUGAGUGAAGAAGGUUUUCGGAUCGUAAAGCUCUGUUGUAAGUCAAGAACGGGUGUGAGAGUGGAAAGUUCACACUGUGACGGUAGCUUACCAGAAAGGGACGGCUAACUACGUG
rnacentral:rRNA from 1 species